AUUUUUUCCAACUUGGUAAGUACUAAACUAUUACAUUAAUGUAAGGGGAGGAUGAGCUUUAUAAAUUUUCAAUGAUAAAAACAUUUGUUACAAGAAAAGGAGGAAAAUAUGACUAAAAUUGUCAAGUUUAUUUAUGUUAUGAUUAUCAUUCUUUCCCUCUUUCAACUUUCAAAAAAUGCAAAAGAGGAAGUCAACUGUUUAGAUGAUGCUGAUUGUCUAGAAGUUUUAUGUGUCUUUGGUUCGAAAGCGGAGUGUGUUGUAAACAUUUGUAUAUGUGUUCCACCGCGGUUUGGAAAAUUUGAUGAGCAUUUUCGUUAAUGCAUUUAGUGGUAGAACAUUAGAGUUAUUUCUUGUACUCAAAGAUAGUGGUAAUGAAAUUAAAUAAAGAAGCAACAAAUAUUAUUUAGA